CCUCUCCACUUCGAGAUAAACAUAGAUUAGACAUAAAAAAUCUGAACUCAAUAAAUGUCUAAAUCCAGAGGCAAAAAAAUCAUUUGGAACGGCUCGAUUUGAAGCGAUCCCCAACAUGUAUCCCACUGAAGUGAGGGAGACGAUUCUGCUAGACCCGCUUUUUCAACCAAAAUCGCCAGACAUUCCUACGUUAUGUCUCAUCUCCUCUCUUGGUGUGUUUCUACCAUCUCUUGUAGAGAUAAGAUCCCGUCCCCUGUGGAUAUGCAUCUCGGACACUUGCGAGUCCACUCCCGGAAUUUCUUUGGCAGCGUACACUGUACAGCGCCUAGAGCUUUGAUAUUUUAGCAUGGAAUAAGAAACAAGAGAUAUUCGUUGCCAUGGAUUGGACGGUGAAAGGGAUGGGCGAUGGCUACCAUCGGCAUCAUCACCGGCCACCUGUUUCUUCUCUGUUGCUUUACUUGCACGGUUGCAACACCAAUUCCUUCAGCUUUCACUUUCGGCCCUUAUGACGCUCUCCUACUCCAAGCAAGAGGUCGGUCCAGAUUCGUGCCCGUUAAAGCAGACAGGAAGGAAGAAGGCUCCGCCUCAUCAAGGUCUUUAUUCAGUGAGGGAGUGCCUCUGAGUUGGACGCCAUGGUGCCGUGGAGGCUGGAGGCGCGACUGGCAGAGACGGUGAGGGCAGCGCUCCUCGGCUGGCUCUUCUUCUGCAUCACCGUCGCCAGCGAUGUCGCACAUGCGCUCAGAAGCAGCGAUCUCUCCAUCUAAGGCCGGCCACGUUCAACAUCGCCGGCUGCCUUUUCAACUCUGCGCCUACAAAGUGGCAGUUCAUUGGACACGCAGGAAGAAAAUUGAUUUACAGCAGUGUAACCAGACAGUGAGUUCAUCCAUGAGAGAAUGAGUUCAAUGUAAAGGUGAAAUAUUCAUAUAGAUUAGAUGUAAAAUCUUGUAUCAAACAGAGAAAUACUGGCUAUUGCUCAAAGUGGCCUGACUUUCAAA